UACGUAGGUGGCAAGCGUUGUCCGGAUUUACUGGGCGUAAAGAGCGCGCAGGCGGUCGUUCAAGUCGCGUGUGAAAGCCCCCGGCUCAACUGGGGAGGGUCACGCGAUACUGAUCGACUGGAAGGCAGGAGAGGGUAGUGGAAUUCCCGGUGUAGUGGUGAAAUGGCGUAGAUAUCGGGAGGAACACCAGUGGCGAAGGCGACUACCUGGCCUGUUUCUUGACGCUGAGGCGCGAAAGCUAGGGGAGCAAACGGG
rnacentral:rRNA from 1 species